AACCCUGGGAGGAUGGAAUCAGGGCACUUCCUCUCUGUCUUUACAGGACACUGGGCUGAACCUUAAGAAAUCCCUGGCUUUCCCCUGGAUCCUGACCACUGCAUGGCCAGAUGUUGACCAUCCUGACUCUGCAGAGACCAGACCUGGCCCUCGUCUUCCAGCCCUGUGCCUGGUGUGUUUUCUCAGCACCUCAGUGAGACAACAAAGAACCAAGCCUGCCAGAACCAAGGGUCGCCUCUGUUUGGUGUCCCCUACAACGAG
rnacentral:lncRNA from 1 species